AUUGAACGCUGGCGGCAUGCCUUACACAUGCAAGUCGAACGGCAGCACGGGAGCAAUCCUGGUGGCGAGUGGCGAACGGGUGAGUAAUGUAUCGGAACGUACCUUUCAGUGGGGGAUAACGUAGCGAAAGUUACGCUAAUACCGCAUAUUCUGUGAGCAGGAAAGCAGGGGAUCGCAAGACCUUGCGCUGAUUGAGCGGCCGAUAUCAGAUUAGCUAGUUGGUGAGGUAAAGGCUCACCAAGGCGACGAUCUGUAGCGGGUCUGAGAGGAUGAUCCGCCACACUGGAACUGAGACACGGUCCAGACUCCUACGGGAGGCAGCAGUGGGGAAUUUUGGGACAAUGGGCGCAAGCCUGAUCCAGCCAUGCCGCGUGAGUGAAGAAGGCC
rnacentral:rRNA from 1 species